GAAUAUUAAUAUUCUUUUGUUAGUAGAAGUCACUUUUGUUGGUUUGAGCUACAAGAUAUACCUCGCAAAGGUAUUUCAGGGACUUAAAAAAAUGAAUAGCCCAUAAAGUUUCAAAUGUUUGAGGCUUGAAAGAUAUUUGUUCAUGGAAAAAAGAUCUAAGAGUUGAUUCUUGGCAAGAUGAUUACACUAGAAAGACUUUUGUUCAUGAAAAAAGAUCUAAGAAUUGAUUCUUAGCUAGAUAAUCGUGCUGAAAACAGCUGAUGUCUGAUUUGAGAAACAUGUAUACCUGUUCUCGUGCUUGAUUUUUUUUAUUAACCAUUUUCCUGGAUUACAAAUAAAUUCUUUAUGAAUAAUCUUUCAGAAUUUCCAGCUUGUUUGAUAGAUAUACUUUCCAUUUGUUAUAUUGAACAAAUCAACAAUGUACAGGUCUGUGCUUGGAAUUUAAAUUGCAGAAAUUGGUCUGUUGCAACUGUUUUUGUUGAUAACAAGAGGGAUUGUGCUUGACAGAGAGCUGACCACCCAUCUAGCACACUUGGUGUUGCAGCUGGUUCUUCAUUGCUUGCACUGAAAACCAUGCGACCCUGGAGCUGCUGGAUAUACAAUCAAGGAGGCAGUAUCUCUGGUUAGAAGCAUGAUUCCAGGACAGCGAGCUCUUGCUUUGCAACUUUUGGCUGUCGUACUUGAACAGGCUUUGUGCAAUUUACAACCACAAAAUGUAACUGGUUGCGAACUUGGUGUCGCUCAACAUGGUGAUGAUUCUGUUGACUGUGAAGCUCUUUGGGCUUACGCUAUUGGUCCAGAAUCAGAACUGAUCUUAACUUUAAGGUAGAUGUCUCAUUAUAUGUACACAUAAAUAUUUGCUUCACUGAGUUUUCUUUAGUCUUUUUUGGUUAUCAUAAGAAGCUUUGGAAGAAACAAAAGUAGAUGUGGUGCCAUGUACAAAUAAUCUGUAAACUUGGUGGAUUUGUUCCACUGGAUUUUCUUUUAGCAUCCUUUGUUACCAUUCUCUGGAAGAAGGAAAAAUAAAUGUUCAACAGUGUAUAAAUGGUCUGCUAACUUUCUGGUUGUCUUUCGCUUGACAUAUCUAUUGUCUGACAAGCUAUAUGGGCUUACAGCAAACCUCCUCCCAAGCUUGUCUUCUUGUAGGUGCCUUAUGUCCUUUGUAGAUAUGCAAUGUAAACGUGCUUCAUUAUGCCACAGUUAAUUCAUAUUUUCUAAAUUAUAAAAAGGAAUUAUGUCUGUGUAUUGUAUAUGUUUCUAUUGUUAGUUGCUUUGUUAAGUACAACAGAUGUAAGAUGGCUGGAACAAUGAUAUUUUUAUUGAUUGGAGAAGAUGUCUUUCAAUAUUUUGAAAUAUUGAAAUUCUUGAUGAAGCAAACCAUUUAUACUUUUCUUUUACUGUUAUCUUUAUUUUUCUGUUUCAUGUACUAUGAUUCCUUUACUUACUGAUUGUGCAAAUUGAGAAGCAUUUAAUUUUACUUUGUCUCUCUCACAAUCCCGAAAACCUCAACAAUUAUUUACAGAAGAACUUUGAAACUCUUGGUCCAUACCCCAGAAGUUGUGAAGAACCUUCUUUUUUUGCCCUGAACAUUCAUGUGCUUAGAGUCUUA